UACGGAGGGUGCUAGCGUUGUUCGGAAUUACUGGGCGUAAAGCGCGCGUAGGCGGCUUUGUAAGUUAGAGGUGAAAGCCCGGGGCUCAACCCCGGAACAGCCUUUAAGACUGCAUCGCUAGAAUCCGGGAGAGGUGAGUGGAAUUCCGAGUGUAGAGGUGAAAUUCGUAGAUAUUCGGAAGAACACCAGUGGCGAAGGCGGCUCACUGGACCGGUAUUGACGCUGAGGUGCGAAAGCGUGGGGAGCAAACAGG
rnacentral:rRNA from 1 species